rnacentral:rRNA from 1 species
GAUGAACGCUGGCGGCGUGCCUAAUACAUGCAAGUCGAGCGAACGGACGAGAAGCUUGCUUCUCUGAUGUUAGCGGCGGACGGGUGAGUAACACGUGGAUAACCUACCUAUAAGACUGGGAUAACUUCGGGAAACCGGAGCUAAUACCGGAUGAUAUUUUGAACCGCAUGGUUCAAAAGUGAAAGACGGUCUUGCUGUCACUUAUAGAUGGAUCCGCGCUGCAUUAGCUAGUUGGUAAGGUAACGGCUUACCAAGGCAACGAUGCAUAGCCGACCUGAGAGGGUGAUCGGCCACACUGGAACUGAGACACGGUCCAGACUCCUACGGGAGGCAGCAGUAGGGAAUCUUCCGCAAUGGGCGAAAGCCUGACGGAGCAACGCCGCGUGAGUGAAGAAGGUCUUCGGAUUGUAAAACUCUGUUAUUAGGGAAGAACAUAUGUGUAAGUAACUGUGCAGAUAUUGACGGUACCGAAUCAGAAAGCCACGGCUAACUACGUG